rnacentral:rRNA from 1 species
GGGCCCGCACAAGCGGUGGAGCAUGUGGUUUAAUACGUCACUAACCGUAGAACCUUACCCAGGCUUGACAUCUGUGGAAUCCCUAUGAAAGUGGGGAGUGCCUCGUAAGAGGAGCCGCAAGACAGGUGUUGCAUGGCUGUCGUCAGCUCGUGUCGUGAGAUGUUGGGUUAAGUCCCGCAACGAGCGCAACCCUCAUCCGAUGUUGCCAGCGUAGAGUCGGGAACUCUUCGGAAACUGCCCGUGUAAGCGGGAGGAAGGUGGGGAUGACGUCAAGUCAGCAUGGCCCUUACGCCUGGGGCUACACACAUGCUACAAUGGAUGUGAACAAAGGGCAGCAAUACCGCGAGGUGGAGCGAAUCUCAAAAAUGCAUCCUCAGUUCGGAUUGUAGUCUGCAACUCGACUACAUGAAGUCGGAAUCGCUAGUAACCGCAGGUCAGCUAAACUGCGGUGAAUACGUUCCCGGGCCUU